rnacentral:rRNA from 1 species
AUUGAACGCUGGCGGCAUGCCUUACACAUGCAAGUCGAACGGUAACGGGCCUUCGGGUGCCGACGAGUGGCGAACGGGGGAGUAAUACAUCGGAACGUGCCCGAUCGUGGGGGAUAACGAGGCGAAAGCUUUGCUAAUACCGCAUACGAUCUACGGAUGAAAGCAGGGGACCGCAAGGCCUUGCGCGGACGGAGCGGCCGAUGGCAGAUUAGGUAGUUGGUGGGAUAAAGGCUUACCAAGCCGACGAUCUGUAGCUGGUCUGAGAGGAUGCUCGGCCACACUGGGCCGGAGACACGGCCAAGACUCCUACGGGAGGCAGCGGUGGGGAAUUUGGAACAAUGGGCGCAAGCCUGAUCCAGCCAUGCCGCGUGCAGGAGGAAGCCCUUCGGGUUGUAAACUGCUUUGGUACGGAACGAAAAGCCUUCUUUUAAUACAGGAGGGUCAUGACGGAACCAUAAGAAUAAGCACCGGCUAACUGCGU